UUUGCAGAAUAGCAGCCGGUAUGCAUGAAGAAUGUAUUGAAAAGGUUGGAAGAAUCAGCCUUCAGUGCUUAUAGUUGGAAAAGAGCCAGCUGCCACUUAAAAAGAGAGAAGACACCGCAGGGGAGCAGUUCACAGGAAGAUACUUCAGAAAAUGUAUAAACUCCCAUGUAUGAUUGCUGUUCUUCAACUCAGGACCACAUACUGAUAUACGUUGGUACAAAACUUGCUUUUGUUUUGGGAAGAAUCUUGACUCAAAGAUGUCUGUAUGGGGCAGACUCACCACAGCUGAGAAGACUUCAGCUUGAGAGACAGCAAGUCAAUGGAUGCUACACACCUGCCAGAAGGAAAUGAGCAUCCUCUGACUUCAAAGUGAUGGUGACCAAGCAGGGACAGGAUUCCCACAUCUUCGUGCAACUCAUCACACAGGUGCACAUGGUUUUUGUAUACUUGUACUGCUAAAUUUAAGUCUUAUCUCCAAGAAAAUCUUCAAUAGUUUGUAGAUUUUGUUCAGGGGAUGUAAAGAUCACCGGGCCCAAACCAGCGCAACCACUUGGCAACUGCACAGGGAACUCUGUCCUUCAGCCUCAGGCCUAUUCAUUGCUCAUCUGUUCUCCUGAACCUCAUUUGAUUAUUUCCAAGCUACUAGUUCUUCUAAGCCAGUUUUUAAAAAUCUCUUUAAUUUUUAGGGAAACUUAUGGAUUUGAUUAUCUUUUAGCAUGAAGAUAGGGCAAACACCUAUCCUACCUUGCUAGCUAGGAGUGUUGCUUAAGAUGUAUAAAAGUUCUUGAAAUAAAAACAUUUUUGUACUUCCAACCAGGUAUUUUGAUGAGUUUCUCCACAGUGUGAGCAUAUGCAAUCUGAAGAUAGUAGAGUGGGGUCUGAUUAAAGCCCUUAUGAACAUUCCAAGUUCUGGAUUAGUGCUGACAUCUGCUGUUUAUUCAUAUCACAUACAAGUAACACGAGACAGGGAAUUAUUUCCUGUGUGCUUUUUGUCUCAAUUCCUUGUUUCAUUUUGCAUCAGGUAAUGUUGAUAAAAUCACAAGAUACUGUAAAACUUCCACAGGUCAA